GACAUGGACAGUUCGGAGACUGCAGGAUGUAGUCAGUGCAAGCAGGAUGUUUGCCGUCAGGAUGACACAGGGAUGAUGCUUCAGGAAGAAGCCAGGGACACCGCCAGGAUGGCUGUUGAGAGUUCACCCGGGAUGGGGAACGGGUCAGGAGACCAGGACACUUCAGGAUGAAGUUCAACAAGGGAAGCGCUGAAGGAUACAGCAUACAAAGGAAUGAUGCAGGGAGCACCAUCGUAGUAGGAAGCUACAGGUAAGACCUAAGGGCGCAACGCAAGUUGCGCCCAUUCUUUUAUGG
rnacentral:other from 1 species